rnacentral:rRNA from 1 species
CAAAAGAGUGGGAAGAGCUUUGAGUAGCGGUGAUAAACCUAACGAGCCCAGUGAUAGCUGGUUGCCUGAGAAAUGAAUAGGAGUUCAGCCCUUUCGUUUUCCCCACUCACAACUUCACAAGAUAAAAGAUAAAGGAAAAUUAAGGAGUUAAUCAAAAGGGGUACAGCUCUUUUGAUCAAAGAAACAACUUUUACAGGUGAAAUAAGAUCAUAGUAAUUAAGGGUAAAAUCCUAAGUGGGCUUAAAAGCAGCCAUCUUUAAAGAAAGCGUUAAAGCUCCAACCAACCCGCACACCCCUUUAUUCUGAUAAUUAAUCUCUUCCCCCCUGUUUCCUACCAGGCUUUUUUAUGCCCCCAUAAAAGUAAUAAUGCUAAAAUGAGUAAUAAGAAGAUACUUUCUUCUCCUAGCACACGUGUAAGUCGGCCCGGACCCCCCACCGACUACUACUCGACCCCAAACCCAGAGGGACAUAAGCUGUAAAAACAAGAAAAACACUUAAUGAAUAAUCGUUGACCCCACACAGGAGUGCACCAAGGAAAGACUAAAAGAGGGGGAAGGAACUCGGCAAACUCAAGCCCCGCCUGUUUACCAAAAACAUCGCCUCUUGACUACCAUCUAUAAGAGGUCUCGCCUGCCCACUGACUAUAUGUUAAAUGGCCGUGGAAUCUUAACCGCGCGAAGGUAGCGUAAUCAUUUGUCUUUUAAAUGAAGACCUGUAUGAACGGCAAAACGAGGGCUUAACUGUCUCCCCCCUCCAGUCAAUGAAAUUGACCUCCCCGUGCAGAGGCGGGGAUUAACCUAUAAGACGAGAAGACCCUGUGGAGCUUUAGACCUAAAAUAAACCCACCAAGCAAAUUCUAGAACGAAUAAACCCGGUUAACAAUUAUUCAUGGUCUUUGGUUGGGGUGACCCUGGGGUAACACAAAGCCCCCACGAAGAUAGAGUGCAGGAAAAUUCCUCCUCAACAUCUAGAGCCGCCCCUCCAAAUAACAAAAUUUUUGACUUACCCUUUUUAAUAAAUGAUCCGGCUUAGCCGAAUAACGAACCCAGUUACCCCAGGGAUAACAGCGCAAUCCCCUUCCAGAGCCCCUAUCGACAAGGGGGUUU